rnacentral:rRNA from 1 species
AACGAACGCUGGCGGCAUGCCUAACACAUGCAAGUCGAACGAGAUCUUCGGGUCUAGUGGCGCACGGGUGCGUAACGCGUGGGAAUCUGCCCUUUGGUUCGGAAUCACAGUUGGAAGCGACUGCUAAUACCGGACGAUGACGAAAGUCCAAAGAUUUAUCGCCAGAGGAUGGGCCCGCGUAGGAUUAGCUAGUUGGUGUGGUAAAGGCGCACCAAGGCGACGAUCCUUAGCUGGUCUGAGAGGAUGAUCAGCCACACUGGGACUGGGACACGGCCCAGACUCCUACGGGAGGCAGCAGUGGGGAAUAUUGGACAAUGGGCGAAAGCCUGAUCCAGCAAUGCCGCGUGAGUGAUGAAGGCCUUAGGGUUGUAAAGCUCUUUUACCCGGGAUGAUAAUGACAGUACCGGGAGAAUAAGCUCCGGCUAACUCCGUGCCAGCCGCCGCCGUAA